UUUGCCAACGCAUCGUGACUGAAGUGAGGUGUACCCAACAGAAUCGGGGAUAUCGACGACAGAUUUCGGAUGUUGAAAGAACGAUUCAUUAUUGGGAUUCAUGUGGGAUUUGUACAAUUUGAAGGAUGAAACCGGACACAAAAGGCCAUUCUCAUCAACCUUAGCAAAGCGGGACUGUGGAGGGACGCUCGGUGUACAAGAUGGAGCCGGGUCAGCGUUAGCGCUGGAAUUUCGAAGUGGAAACGUCCGGAGUGCUGGGAUUGGUGUAUUUUGGAAGAUCAAUAUCUAGAAACAAGUAUCAUUAACUUAUUCUUUGGCUGAAUAAUAAUCUUUAAACUUGGAAUAUUGUACCAAAUUAAAUACACGAAUGCUUUAAAUUUGCGGAGCAGUUCAUUUGUGAAUAAACAUCAUUGAAGGAUA